AUGUUCGGGCGACAGGACGUGCCAGCUUUGUGUCAGGAAAAAGUACAUAAUCAGAGAAUUGAGCAUUUGUGGAGAGAUGUAUGGAUGGCAGUGACCCAGGUCUACUAUGAAAUUCUACAUACCCUGGAAGAAGAUGGCCUACUUGACACUGCAAUGACAUUCACAUGUUUUGCACACACUACAUCUUCCUACCUCGGCUGAAUGAUGACCUGGCCAAAUUCAGUGGUGGGUGGAACAACGACCCACUGCGCACUGAGCAAAACCUGACCCCAAACCAGCUGUGGAUCAUGGGCCACAUUCAGAAUCCCACCACUGAAGCAGAAAACAUUGAGCAGCAUCCAGAGGUCGACACCAUUGACUGGGAAAAUGGAGGGAUUACAUGUGUAUUGAAGUACCACACAUUCCAAGCCCAUUUAGUCCUGUAGAAAUGGAACAGCUACAAGCUACCAUUAACCCUAGAGGACCAUCACCAUGCUUUGGCAGAGACAUUUAUUUGAACAUGCUGCAGUAUGUACAUAGAUUUCUUGCCAACUGAACCAAUAAUGACUAACAUCAUUUGACAUAGUGUAUACAAACCACUGCAUGUAAAUAUAACAAUUUGUAAUGCACACUGCACUCUUAAAUUGACAUUUUCUUUUUCUGAAUUUAGAGAUGUCAAAGUUGAAAGUAAUAAAAUGUAAACUGUAAAAUUGAACGCUCUACUGCAGUCA